rnacentral:lncRNA from 1 species
UCACCGCUGAUUUUCUCAAGCUACAGGGCGUGACAAAAUGACACAUCUUGUAUGGAUUAUACAGGAAAAAACACAAUUUUGUGAUUAGAAACUAAACAAAAUGAUAGAAUUGUUAAAUACUUAAGGAAAAGAUAGCUUUCAGACAAUGCUUUGAAAAUAUCAAAAGAAAAGGUAGGGUCACCGUACGUUUUUUCCGGCUAAAAUGCAAAAUAGGAAAAUUCCAUGUAGAAUCCUUCAGAAAAUGCACUGUUUUAGAGUUACCUCCCCUUAAAAUGCCAAUUUAAUUUAUUUUUAAGAACAAUCAAAAUUAAUCAUCAUUUGCAAAAAUAUCAAUAUUUAUAAGUUAUAUUCUUAUAAAUUGAUUCUUUUAAAUGUAAAUUCACAUUAAAUAUCUGCAUUCCUACAUCAAAUUUUGCUAACUUGAUAGAAAAUCUGGACCUUUGGUUCUCUGUUUUUUACAAUCCAAGAUGGAGGAAGACACCCAUACCACCUUAA